AAAACAGUUGGUGAAAGAAUCCCUUAGUAGUUCCCACCAUUUUCCCAAUCCCAGUUCUUUUCAGUGUUGAAUUUCUAGGGUUACCGUUGGAACUGGACACGUCCGUACGGAGGUUAUCUCUCCGUCUCCGCCAUGAACUCCCGGCAAGCCUCUCCGUCGAACUGCGACAUCUGUGGUGCCACACAAACCCUAUCUCUCACCAUCCACAAUAUCCGCCACCGCGCUCACACCCGUCGCUACUGCACUAACUGUGUCCUCAAGCAGCACCCUGGCCUCUUCUGCCCUAUCUGCUUCGACCUCCACGAAGACUCUCUGCUCGCUCCGCACCACCGCCUCAUGUGCGUCCGCUGCCCCUCCAUCGCCCACCGAUCCUGUGUCUUCCCCUCCACCACCGCUGCUGAGUCCACACCACCUUUCUUUUGUCCUAUUUGUCUUGACGCCAACUUCACCUUCUUUAGUCCUCCCGACCGCAAAACUGGAGCAGUAGAUGUCCAAUCCGCCAAGGUCCUUGUCGCUGCUGCACGGAUCGCGGCCCUCUCCAUGAGCAAGGCUGCUGCGGCAGCACGCUUCGAUGCGGAGCGCCGUGCUAGGGAGGCAGCUGUGGCCAGGAAGAGGGCCAAGGAGGCCCUGGAACAUCUCGCGGAGAUCCUUGCACGGGAGCAAGACGAAGAACUGAACGGGGAUGUUUCUGCUGGUGGACGGCGGCGCGGCGCCUAAUAGUAUGAGAAAUUCACCAUGUAAAACAAAUAACAUGUAAGAGAAACUUACAUCUCAGAAGCUCCAACAUCAUAAAUUGUGUUCAAUUUUGGUGAACAAAAGUCAGGACAAGACGUAUUUCGGAAUAUCAGUAGUCGUAUUUUCUAUAGCUACAGCAACAUUAUGUUUGGCAAAAAACUUGUCUAUUUUCUUCAAUAGCUACAGCAACUUAUGCUGCAUGUUAUUGAAGUGGUAGAGCAGACCUGUAGAAAGGGACAUAAAGUUGGUUGGGAUCUGUAGGCACUGUCUCUCAGUCAACUGUUAUAUGUACUACAAUUCAAUUAAACCCAUCAGAAUCACAAACAAGAACUCCACAAAGAAGCUACGUGAACUACACAAUCCCGAAUGAAUUCAAGAGUCAAACAAUGACCAGUAAAGAUUCCCGCAUUUCUUUCUGACCCAAUUCACUAGAUAAUUGCGAAUUGAGAGCUGCACACAGGAACUACUUGGGCCAAAUCCUCUAAAAUUGACGUGUGGGCACUGCUAGAAUUGUGCAAAUUAUUUUCAUGAUUCUCCUGUUUUCACCUGAACAGCAACACUUGGCAUCUGUUGUACAGUGUGUCAUAAAAAAGGACUGGUUCAGGAACCUUUUGCAUAGAUGCCUUUGUUCCGGUAGAAGUUCCCCUAAUUUUUUCUCUCUAGCAUCUUUGUGCUCUGGAGGACACUGGACUUAGUAUUUGCUAAAUAAACCAUGACUUCUGCGACACGAAGGAUGGAUCUGUUGGACGAAAAACUUGAAUGAAUGGAAGCCUGAACUGAGAGCAGAAUUUUUUUUUUCUAGCAUGGAUAACAAAUUGGUGCACGCGUAGGACAGAAUAGAAAGGUUGGAGGUCAACUGGACGAAGAGGCUUCAGCGUGUAAUUAAGAAUGUAUUGGAACAAAAGGUCGAAGAUGAGAAUUUCAACAAGAGGGGGAAUUUCUGCAAGAUUAAAUUAGAGUCAGAUUGCGAUCUGCAUGGCUUGGAUGAGUAUCUGAUGGUAGUUAAGAAAGCACAUAUUUGAGCCUUAGACGGGGGAAAUACCCUGUGGGAUGGAACUUUGAUUUGCAGAAUACAAUGCUGAUGUGAGGAUUAAGUUGGCCAAGUUGAGUUUGAAGAAUAAAACCAUAACUGGGCAACAUUUAAAAGAGCCUCCGUUGCAAGGUUUGUACAAAGGUUGAAAAUCCAUUUGAAAAUGCCAUAGGAGCUUUUGAAUCUGUAUCCUAUCAAGUAAGAAAACUACUGAACGAGCAGUCGCUUGGUAUCCAUUAGUGUCUGUGGGCCUGAUUUAGAUCCUUGGCUUCUACGAAUUCUGAUGAAGGUUAUCGAGGCAAUAGCAGUCUUUGCUCAGUAAAGAUCAAGGAGGCUGAUCGUCCCAGAGGUUUAGGGAGGGUUAAUAAGGAUGUAAAGCAAGUUUAGAAUACAUAAGCAGUUAAUCUUCAUGCGCAAUAUUAUGGGAAGAUUACUAUCAGGUCACCUCUCAAUCGACUCAAAUUUGUUUUUGCACUGUAAGCUCGAAUCUUAGGACCCAUUUUUUCAUCAUUUUGUCUGUAUUUUACACAAUGUUUCAAUGUAAUUGUUUCCUCCUUAAUUUUUUUUUGACUGAGCUUAUUUUUAGAAUGAGAUAUGACUAUACAAGAUUGUUUGCUAUGGAACACUUGCAUGAUAAUGGGUAACUCUGGAUUAGCAUGACAUUUAAUCUUAAAGUUUUUCCAUCAGAUAAUGCCCAGGUUUGUAGUAUCCCCCUUUGGCCGAAGACACAUGUCUGGCUUCCGAACCAAGUUAAUUUAUAAAUGGGGAUAUUAUCAUCAAAGAUCCGUCAAUGUUUUGGUUCUUUACUUUUAAUUAGUAUGGUGAUUUAUUUAGUUUUAUAUGCCGCAAAUUAUGUUUGUACUUUCUAUUGAUGCCUAUUACCUCCGAUUUUCCACAAAUUGUCGGAGAUUACAAAUCAGUCUUCACUUUCAUCAGAGAUGGUAAGUGUUGCAGGGCUCUUUGUUGAUUUUUUUUUAUCUUGGGAGCAUUUGACUCGGAGUUUGAUUGACUAUAGCAAUCUGCCAAAUAGAUUUACUGAAGCUGCCUAAUCACAGAAUUUUUUGGGGUCAUUGUUUCCAGAAAAUGAAAAGGUUUACAUGAUUUGUGAAAAUCAGCAGUUGUAUCCCUCGGAAUUUGUCAUUGGCCCUCUUACAUUGUAAAUAGUGUAAUAU